UCACUUACCCCCCACUGGAGACACAGCACUGCAAUAUUACCCCAGAGCCUCCAACGGAUCCCAGGGGUCGUACCCCCCGUACACCUCCGGGUCUGAAAUGCGGAUGCCUCCUCCAAGAUGGCCGCCGGGCGUCCCACGGCUCCCUCUGCCGCCGCCGGCCCCGGCGAUCCCGGAGAGCCUACGAGUGCCGGGGCAGCAGGAGAUGUCCUCCGGGCGGGUCCCGCGAUGAUAAGGGCUGUAGAGGUGCACAUGGUUUUGCCCAACUGCUACCAAAAUUCCUGCUGCGAUCAACUUGGAAGUACCCCCUAUGUGGACUCCUGGCAAGAAUUUGGGCAGAAUUACCUGUUUAAGCCCUCUUCAUAAGAGAUAUUUGCUCUUAUGGUUUGAAGGAUCACACAUAUCAGGACUCACAGCAGUGAAUCAAAUUGGUGAGAAAAGACACAAGUUUCAGCAAGUGUUAUCAAGCUGAGCGCCGCACAAUAUGAACUUUUUCACACAACUCUUAUUUCCAUCUAACAACCCCACAGUUUUGGGUAAUUGUUGCUCAUUGACUUAAGUACAUAAUUUUCAGGUUUCAAAGUGGGAACAGACGUACUAAAGCAAUAUAAAUAUAGUUGCACUACAUGGUUUCAAACCAACAUACAUUAUUUCUAUC